rnacentral:rRNA from 1 species
CUACGGGUCGCUCCAGUGAGGAAUAUUGCACAAUGGGGGGAACCCUGAUGCAGCAACGCCGCGUGGAGGAUGACGCAUUUCGGUGUGUAAACUCCUUUUAUAUGUCAAGAAAAUGACGGUAGCGUAUGAAUAAGCACCGGCUAACUCCGUGCCAGCAGCCGCGGUAAUACGGAGGGUGCAAGCGUUACUCGGAAUCACUGGGCGUAAAGGACGCGCAGGCGGGUUGGAAAGUCAGGUGUGAAAUCCUACAGCAUAACUGUAGAACUGCACUUGAAACUUCUAAUCUAGAGUAUGGGAGGGGGAGAUGGAAUUAGUGGUGUAGGGGUAAAAUCCGUAGAUAUCACUAGGAAUACCUAAAGCGAAGGCGAUCUCCUGGAACAUUACUGACGCUAAGGCGUGAAAGCGUGGGGAGCAAACAGGAUUAGAUACCCGGGUAGUC